rnacentral:rRNA from 1 species
UGGGGAAUAUUGGACAAUGGGCGAAAGCCUGAUCCAGCCAUGCCGCGUGAGUGACGAAGGCCUUAGGGUUGUAAAGCUCUUUCGUCGGGGACGAUAAUGACGGUACCCGAAGAAGAAGCUCCGGCUAACUUCGUGCCAGCAGCCGCGGUAAUACGAAGGGAGCUAGCGUUGUUCGGAAUCACUGGGCGUAAAGCGCACGUAGACGGAUAGUUAAGUCAGGGGUGAAAUCCUGGGGCUCAACCCCAGAACUGCCUUUGAUACUGGCUGUCUCGAGGUCGAGAGAGGUUGGUGGAAUUCCUAGUGUAGAGGUGAAAUUCGUAGAUAUUAGGAAGAACACCAGUGGCGAAGGCGGCCAACUGGCUCGAUACUGACGCUGAGGUGCGAAAGCGUGGGGAGCAAACAGGAUUAGAUACCCCCGUAGUCCCUGAGCGGGCUGGCAAGGCGCAU